rnacentral:tRNA from 1 species
ACCUGGCUGGCUCAGUCGGAAGAGCAUAGGACUCUUGAUCCUGGGGUUGUGAGGUUGAGACCCAUGUUGGGCA